GAUGAACGCUGGCGGCGUGCCUAAUACAUGCAAGUCGAGCGAACAGACGAGAGUGCUUGCCCUCUCUGACGUUAGCGUCGGACGGGUGAGUAACACGUGUGUAACCUACCUAUAAGACUGGGAUAACUUCGGGAAACCGGAGCUAAUACCGGAUAAUAUUUAGCUUCGCAUGACGCAAUAGUGACAGACGGUUCUGCUGUCACUUAUAGAUGGACCCGCGGUGUAUUAGCUAGUUGGUGAGGUAACGGCUCACCAAGGCAACGAUACAUAGCCGACCUGAGAGGGUGAUCGGCCACACUGGAACUGAGACACGGCCCAGACUCCUACGGGAGGCAGCAGUGGGGAAUAUUCCACAAUGGGCGGAAGUCUGACGGAGCAAUGCCGCGUGAGUGAAGAAGGUUUUCGGAUCGUAAAACUCUGUUGUAAGGGAAGAAAAGGAACGUGAGAAACUGAACGUACCUUGACGGUACCUUAACAGAAAGCCACGGCUAACUACGUG
rnacentral:rRNA from 1 species